rnacentral:tRNA from 1 species
GCCCCGUUAGCUCAGCUGGUAGAGCAGUUGCCUCUUAAGCAAACGGUCGCAGGUUCGAGUCCUGCACGGGGCACCA